rnacentral:rRNA from 1 species
CCCUUAGAUGUUCUGGGCCGCACGCGCGCUACACUGAUGCAUUCAACGAGCCUAGCCUUGACCGAGAGGUCCGGGUAAUCUUUGAAACUGCAUCGUGAUGGGGCUAGAUUAUUGCAAUUAUUAAUCUUCAACGAGGAAUGCCUAGUAAGCGUGAUUCAUCAAAUCGCGUUGAUUACGUCCCUGCCCUUUGUACACACCGCCCGUCGCUCCUACCGAUUGAGUGUGUUGGUGAGGAGUUUGGAUUGGCCUCGGAAGGUUGUUCGCCACCGUCCGUAGCUGAGAAGUUCUCCAAACCGCCCCACUUAGAGGAAGGAGAAGUCGUAACA